CGCAAAGCUACGUCCAGAAUGCAAAGAAGAGAGCUGGACUACAUACAUACAAGGUACAUGUGGUGUCUGCCCUAUUACUUUAUAAUUAAGCGUUAGCAUGUAACGCUUCAGAAAAGAGACUGAGAGCUGAAUAAUAAAGAGCUAGCUAAGUCUAGCUUGAGCCGUGGCAUGUGACGGAGUCUAAACGUAUCGGUUGUUGUUUCAUUCAAGUUACAUAAGAAGAAGUCUUAUUACUAUUUUAGUUGUUUAAGUUAUAAAACAGUUUAAUUAUUAUUUUCAUGUCAAUUACCAUUUAUAACAGUGGCGACGACGGAUAAAUAAGUGAUUGUGAUAAGUGCAGAUAACUCAAACGGAAGGCACUUCCAGAGUGAGUCAGCCUUGUGUUCAGAACAAAGAAUUUCGUUCUCCAAUAAGCAAUACAGCAUAUCGGAGAUUCCGUGCGAGAGGCGAGAUCUGCUCGAAAAUCGACUCAGAAGGUUUGAGUUACUACUGCUGUGCUGUUGCUGUUGAGUUGUUGGUUGCUGGGUUCGUGGAUAGAUUGCUGCUGUUGCGAGAUUUAUUACUCGGGAGAAAAUUAGAGUACCAGGCAUUUGAGAGUACCAAUGCUGGAGGUCUCGCAAAGUGAGAACUGAUAUAGUGAACACCUUACUCACUACUCACAGUUCAACCCAUACGUUGUGAGAAGCACAUCGCGCCCAUUGCGCCGAGUGGAUCUACAGCAAGUUGAUUUCGAGCCGAAGUAGGAGGUAGACGAUCCCGUUGUCGUUGAAACUUCAGAGACACGUUUCGAAGGUUUCACUGUACAGAGGUGCAUGCUGUAAACGUCUAUAGUAUAGGGGACGAGUUACAAGUGUCAGCCAAGUACACGGUGAGACUGAUCUGCUGCAAUCAUUCUGGUCGGUAAGCACAAGACGAAUGCGCACAGGCGACAGUUGAAGGCUGCUUACGAACCCAAACGAAGUCGGACAGUGGUACAACUGCCAACCACCACAAUGAACAAACGUAAGAGGGAGUCAAUCGAUGAGGAUGAAGAUUUCUACGGAUUCUCAGAUGUCCCGAGACCAGAAGAUGUUUCCCAACGAAAGAAAGCCAAACAUGCUAGAAGUCCCAUUAACACUCGCUCGAGAACUACAUAAAUCAGCUAGGCGCAACCAAGCUAUAGCUGCUUCACUACCAUCAACGAGUUUGAGUUCGAAUUAUUGAAAUAAUCUUAUUCAUAUCCAUGUUCUGAAAUUAAGUUGAUUGACUUUUCUUAAGAAGGGAGAACUGUGGUGUCUGCCCUAUUACUUUAUAAUUAAGCGUUAGCAUGUAACGCUUCAGAAAAGAGACUGUGAGAGCUGAAUAAUGAAGAGCUAGCUCAGUCUAGCUUGAGCCGUGGCAUGUGACGGAGUCUAAACGUAUCGGUUGUUGUUUCAUUCAAGUUACAUAAGAAGAAGUCUUAUUACUAUUUUAGUUGUUUAAGUUAUAAAACAGUUUAAUUAUUAUUGUCAUGUCAAUUACCAUUUAUAACAGUACAGAACUUCCUAAACCGCGAUGAGCGGCUACAAUCGACGGCUAAAACUCGGGCAUGGAAACUCUACGAGAAGAUGCUGACAAAAUAUGGCUGCUGUGUGAUGGACGACGAAACGUAUAUAAAAGCCGAUUUUAAUCAAAUUCCGGGGUUGGAGUUUUUCACCGGCAAGAGCAAGUUCGAUGUGGACGACAAAUUUAAGAAGAAGAAAAUGUCGAAGUUCGCCUCCAAAUAUGUAUCUCAUUUGGCAGGUCAUAAAUUUGAGAAAACCGAAAGGACCACCCUUAAUUUUUAGCAUAUACUAGCUAUCAGUGACAUAACAUUGGAACGCUAACGAUGAGUGCCGAUGGCGGCCUGUUUUCAGCGAGAAUUGAUCAUUGUGAAAUUGAAUUGAUUCAAAUUAAAAUUCUAAGUUCUGAUGUUUAGUCUAAGUUUUGAUGUUUAGUGAACAUGGCUUGAAAAGGUGUGAUAAAGUGUCUAGCUAA